rnacentral:rRNA from 1 species
CGAAGAGGUCACACCCGUUCCCAUGCCGAACACGGAAGUUAAGCUCUUCAGCGCCGAUGGUAGUCGGGGGUUUCCCCCUGUGAGAGUAGGACGCCGCCAAGCU